rnacentral:rRNA from 1 species
CAGCCGCCACGGGAAUACGAAGGGUGCAAGCGUUACUCGGAAUUACUGGGCGUAAAGCGUGUGUAGGUGGUUGUUUAAGUCUGUCGUGAAAGCCCUGGGCUCAACCUGGGAAUUGCGAUGGAUACUGGGCGACUAGAGUGCGGUAGAGGAUAGUGGAAUUUCCGGUGUAGCAGUGAAAUGCGUAGAGAUCGGAAGGAACAUCUGUGGCGAAGGCGACUAUCUGGGCCAACACUGACACUGAGACACGAAAGCGUGGGGAGCAAACAGGAUUAGAUACCCGAGUAGUCCAUGUCUCUUAUAU